GGUUAAGCGACUAAGCGUACACGGUGGAUGCCCUGGCAGUCAGAGGCGAUGAAGGACGUGCUAAUCUGCGAUAAGCGUCGGUAAGGUGAUAUGAACCGUUAUAACCGGCGAUUUCCGAAUGGGGAAACCCAGUGUGUUUCGACACACUAUCAUUAACUGAAUCCAUAGGUUAAUGAGGCGAACCGGGGGAACUGAAACAUCUAAGUACCCCGAGGAAAAGAAAUCAACCGAGAUUCCCCCAGUAGCGGCGAGCGAACGGGGAGCAGCCCAGAGCCUGAAUCAGNNNNNNNNNNNNNNNNNNNNNNNNNNNNNNNNNNNNNNNNNNNNNNNNNNNNNNNNNNNNNNNNNNNNNNNNNNNNNNNGCUCGAUGAGUAGGGCGGGACACGUGGUAUCCUGUCUGAAUAUGGGGGGACCAUCCUCCAAGGCUAAAUACUCCUGACUGACCGAUAGUGAACCAGUACCGUGAGGGAAAGGCGAAAAGAACCCCGGCGAGGGGAGUGAAAAAGAACCUGAAACCGUGUACGUACAAGCAGUGGGAGCACGCUUAGGCGUGUGACUGCGUACCUUUUGUAUAAUGGGUCAGCGACUUAUAUUCUGUAGCAAGGUUAACCGAAUAGGGGAGCCGAAGGGAAACCGAGUCUUAACUGGGCGUUAAGUUGCAGGGUAUAGACCCGAAACCCGGUGAUCUAGCCAUGGGCAGGUUGAAGGUUGGGUAACACUAACUGGAGGACCGAACCGACUAAUGUUGAAAAAUUAGCGGAUGACUUGUGGCUGGGGGUGAAAGGCCAAUCAAACCGGGAGAUAGCUGGUUCUCCCCGAAAGCUAUUUAGGUAGCGCCUCGUGAAUUCAUCUCCGGGGGUAGAGCACUGUUUCGGCAAGGGGGUCAUCCCGACUUACCAACCCGAUGCAAACUGCGAAUACCGGAGAAUGUUAUCACGGGAGACACACGGCGGGUGCUAACGUCCGUCGUGAAGAGGGAAACAACCCAGACCGCCAGCUAAGGUCCCAAAGUCAUGGUUAAGUGGGAAACGAUGUGGGAAGGCCCAGACAGCCAGGAUGUUGGCUUAGAAGCAGCCAUCAUUUAAAGAAAGCGUAAUAGCUCACUGGUCGAGUCGGCCUGCGCGGAAGAUGUAACGGGGCUAAACCAUGCANNNNNNNNNNNNNNNNNNNNNNNNNNNNNNNNNNNNNNNGGAGCGUUCUGUAAGCCUGUGAAGGUGUGCUGUGAGGCAUGCUGGAGGUAUCAGAAGUGCGAAUGCUGACAUAAGUAACGAUAAAGCGGGUGAAAAGCCCGCUCGCCGGAAGACCAAGGGUUCCUGUCCAACGUUAAUCGGGGCAGGGUGAGUCGACCCCUAAGGCGAGGCCGAAAGGCGUAGUCGAUGGGAAACAGGUUAAUAUUCCUGUACUUGGUGUUACUGCGAAGGGGGGACGGAGAAGGCUAUGUUGGCCGGGCGACGGUUGUCCCGGUUUAAGCGUGUAGGCUGGUUUUCCAGGCAAAUCCGGAAAAUCAAGGCUGAGGCGUGAUGACGAGGCACUACGGUGCUGAAGCAACAAAUGCCCUGCUUCCAGGAAAAGCCUCUAAGCAUCAGGUAACAUCAAAUCGUACCCCAAACCGACACAGGUGGUCAGGUAGAGAAUACCAAGGCGCUUGAGAGAACUCGGGUGAAGGAACUAGGCAAAAUGGUGCCGUAACUUCGGGAGAAGGCACGCUGAUAUGUAGGUGAAGUCCCUCGCGGAUGGAGCUGAAAUCAGUCGAAGAUACCAGCUGGCUGCAACUGUUUAUUAAAAACACAGCACUGUGCAAACACGAAAGUGGACGUAUACGGUGUGACGCCUGCCCGGUGCCGGAAGGUUAAUUGAUGGGGUUAGCGGUAACGCGAAGCUCUUGAUCGAAGCCCCGGUAAACGGCGGCCGUAACUAUAACGGUCCUAAGGUAGCGAAAUUCCUUGUCGGGUAAGUUCCGACCUGCACGAAUGGCGUAAUGAUGGCCAGGCUGUCUCCACCCGAGACUCAGUGAAAUUGAACUCGCUGUGAAGAUGCAGUGUACCCGCGGCAAGACGGAAAGACCCCGUGAACCUUUACUAUAGCUUGACACUGAACAUUGAGCCUUGAUGUGUAGGAUAGGUGGGAGGCUUUGAAGUGUGGACGCCAGUCUGCAUGGAGCCGACCUUGAAAUACCACCCUUUAAUGUUUGAUGUUCUAACGUUGACCCCUAAUCGGGGUUGCGGACAGUGUCUGGUGGGUAGUUUGACUGGGGCGGUCUCCUCCUAAAGAGUAACGGAGGAGCACGAAGGUUGGCUAAUCCUGGUCGGACAUCAGGAGGUUAGUGCAAUGGCAUAAGCCAGCUUGACUGCGAGCGUGACGGCGCGAGCAGGUGCGAAAGCAGGUCAUAGUGAUCCGGUGGUUCUGAAUGGAAGGGCCAUCGCUCAACGGAUAAAAGGUACUCCGGGGAUAACAGGCUGAUACCGCCCAAGAGUUCAUAUCGACGGCGGUGUUUGGCACCUCGAUGUCGGCUCAUCACAUCCUGGGGCUGAAGUAGGUCCCAAGGGUAUGGCUGUUCGCCAUUUAAAGUGGUACGCGAGCUGGGUUUAGAACGUCGUGAGACAGUUCGGUCCCUAUCUGCCGUGGGCGCUGGAGAACUGAGGGGGGCUGCUCCUAGUACGAGAGGACCGGAGUGGACGCAUCACUGGUGUUCGGGUUGUCAUGCCAAUGGCACUGCCCGGUAGCUAAAUGCGGAAGAGAUAAGUGCUGAAAGCAUCUAAGCACGAAACUUGCCCCGAGAUGAGUUCUCCCUGACUCCUUGAGAGUCCUGAAGGAACGUUGAAGACGACGACGUUGAUAGGCCGGGUGUGUAAGCGCAGCGAUGCGUUGAGCUAACCGGUACUAAUGAACCGUGAGGCUUAACCUU
rnacentral:rRNA from 1 species